rnacentral:lncRNA from 1 species
CCAAUUCCUGAGAAGUUCUGAAUGUUUCCAUUUUUUUAGAAAAAGAAAUUUACUAAAUCACCAUAAAUCUUUUGUUAUUUUGUCUGAUUUAAUAACAUUGGUUAUCCACAUGAGUUUUGUAGGCCCAGAGGACUGGCUUCUUGGAGGCUUGGAGCUAAUGUAACAUAUAUCUAAGGAUCGAUGGAUUUAGAUACGGUAAUGCUCCUUCCAGGGCGUUCGGAUAGAUCGGACAGAUCCGCACGACUCGACUGAGCCACGAGCACGCGCCCUCAGCUCCUUAUCCGUUCCCAC